GGCUCAGGAUGAACGCUAGCGGCAGGCCUUAUACAUGCAAGUCGAGGGGUAACAUGAUAUAGCAAUAUAUUGAUGACGACCGGCGUAUGGGUGAGUAACACGUACGUAAUCUGCCCCAUAUAGAAGGAUAACUCCUAGAAAUGGGAACUAAUACUUCAUGCAGUCUUGAGGGGAAUCUUUCAAGAUAAAAGAUUUAUCGAUAUGGGAUGAGCGUGCGCUCUAUUAGUUAGUUGGUAGGGUAAUGGCCUACCAAGACGAUGAUGGAUAGGGGUUCUGAGAGGAAGGUCCCCCACAUUGGCACUGAAAUACGGGCCAGACUCCUACGGGAGGCAGCAGUAGGGAAUAUUGGUCAAUGGACGCAAGUCUGAACCAGCCAUGCCGCGUGAAUGGAUGAAGGUCCUAUGGAUUGUAAACAUCUUUUGUAUAAGAAUAAAAUAAUCUUGCGAGGUUAAAUGAAUGUAUUAUACGAAUAAAUACCGGCUAACUCCGUGCCAGCAGCCGC
rnacentral:rRNA from 1 species